UACGGGGGGGGCAAGCGUUGUUCGGAAUUACUGGGCGUAAAGGGCUCGUAGGCGGCCAACUAAGUCAGACGUGAAAUCUCUCGGCUUAACCGGGGAACUGCGUCUGAUACUGGAUGGCUUGAAUCCGGGAGAGGGAUGCGGAAUUCCAGGUGUAGCGGUGAAAUGCGUAGAUAUUGGGAGGAACACCGGUGGCGAAGGCGGCCCCCUGGACCGGAACUGACGCUGAGGCGCGAAAGCGUGGGUAGCAAACGGG
rnacentral:rRNA from 1 species